rnacentral:tRNA from 1 species
CGGGGCGUGGCUCAGCUUGGUAGAGCGUCUCCGUUCGGGGCGCGGAGGUCGCAAGUUCAACUCUUGUCGCCCCGAC